rnacentral:lncRNA from 1 species
AGGACCCUCUUACUUCCCAGCUGCACCUUCUCAUUUGCCAAUAAGGGUCUGUGAGUUCAGCAGCCAUGAGUUCCGACUCUGAGAUGGCCGUUUUCGGGGAGGCUGCUCCUUACCUCCGGAAGUCUGAAAAGGAGCGAAUCGAGGCCCAGAAUAGGCCUUUUGAUGCCAAAACAUCUGUCUUUGUGGCGGAGCCCAAGGAGUCCUUUGUCAAAGGAACCAUUCAGAGCAAAGACGCAGGGAAAGUGACUGUGAAAACUGAAGCAGGAGCGACCCUGACGGUGAAAGAAGACCAGAUCUUCCCCAUGAACCCUCCCAAGUACGACAAGAUCGAGG